UAAUCAGCAGCCGUAUCUCCUCUUCUCUCUGGCUGACUAAAUGAAGAUCAAGAGAACUCCUCGUUGUCCAGAUCCAUAGCCACUUCAGUCCCUAUGGUUCCAGCUGCUGCUGUGCUGGCCAAUGAAAGGUCACAGGGGGCAGAGUCAGCUUCCCGUGAUUUCUGCCCGACUGCCACACAGCCUGCCAAUCGGCCCAUCUCCAGUGAAUAAUGGCCGCUGCUUUUAGAGGCGAAUUCAACAGCGGUCCAGGUGACAGAUGGGCCCUGUGCCUGCAGACAGCUGCCAGGGCUUCCUCCAAUUAGCCGGUCCCCGGGCUGCUCGUCAGGAGCGACAACGACAGAGCAUCGCUGCUGCGGCAGCAGUCUCGACGCAGACCAUCAAUCCGGCAGGAGAACACUUAAUAAUACACUUCUGGUCUGCAUUCACACCGCGGCAGAAUGUGAUGGCGAGGUGCCACCAGUGUCAACCUGCCACUCAUUUGGAAAAUGCGUACGCCUCUCAUCUUCAGUCAGACUUCAGACGCGUUUGCUCUUUGCAUUCAUCUCGCUGUCUGUCUUUUGUUUUUAAUGACACUAAAUGUUGAGAGGACGUUACGUGUGCGUUGGCGCUCGCCGUGCUGGGCGUCAGGAGUUGAGGAUCAAGUGGCUCGAGUGCAGCACAAACCACCUACAGUACACAUACCGGUGAGUCACACAUAAACCACCGAUACCGUCAUUACCGACAGCAACUUCUUACUACGCCGCUCCAUGACUGGGCUCGCAUCGAAAGCCGAUGCAGCCAAAAGAACCUGGACUACAAUACGAAAACAGAGACAACUAGAACGGGCAUUCGGUAGAGCGCAUACCUUCGCAUAUCACAAGAUUGGGCAUUGAAUUAUGAACAUUUUGGCAUUAGUUUCAUUGCCAAUUGGAUAAAAAUUGACCGCGCUAUGGUAAAAUGAAGAUUUUGAACUUUUCAUGACCUUGACCUUUGACCCGAUCGAUCCCAAAUUCUAAUCAAACGGUCCCCGGAUAAUAACCAAUCAUCCCACCAAAUUUCAUGCGAUUCGGUUUAAUACUUUUUUAGUUAUGCGAGUAACACGCAUACAAAUAAAUAAAUAAACAAAUGGCGAUCAAAACAUAACCUCCCGCAUUUUCAAUGCGAAGGUAAUGAAAGAAAAAUAUGCAGUCCCCACCAAUUACAACCGUCAAAGAUGCGGCCUUACCUUUUGGAAAUAGUUUUAAUUAAAUUAGUUUACUUCUGCUCAUCAUCAGGCAUACAUUUUGAUCCACUCAUUACAACAGAUUCUUUCUAGGGCUGCAACCAACGAUGAACCGAUCGAAUGUUCUGUCUAUUAAGUCGCAGCUAGCAUAUGCAGUUUACCUUGAGACACACCACAACGACACAAACCUGGAACCAGCGAUUGUUGUGCAUUUUCUGCUGGAAAAAAACAGAUUACGCUAUUAAAAAAAAUAGUUGCCCAUU